AUGUGAAGUAUGCUUAUAUCUACUAUAACUGAACCAACCUGGUGCUCUUCAUUUAUGGAGGCUGUUGAGUCUGAAUGUUGGAUGUUGUGUAUCUCGUGUUCUCUGGGCUUUGUUGUCCUCAGUCUUUUUGCAGGACCAGAAAACAAAACCAGGAGGCGCGUAAAUGUUUCUUCUCCAUGAUGUUUCUUCAAAUGUUUCUUCUGGAUGAUGAUAAGACUGUGACACGGGAUGCCACCUUUGGUCUUGUGAUGAAGCAAAGUUCAGGAAGAAGUGGGAUUAAAUGGUACCCACAUGUGUGCUGCUGAGAAGGAUGUACAGGGGCACCUGCAGCCAAAUCCAAGCCUCAGAGCAGAGCAGCAGUUUGUGCUCACAGAUGGUGACGGUGUGGAGAGACGGUGGUGUUUCCUCAGAAGAACCAGCAGAGUCACAACAGACACCAGUCCAUCACCACCUUGACUUGCUGACUGAUGCUCGUCUGCACUACACAGAGGAAAUCAGCUGACCGAGGAGUGUUUCUGAGUGAGGGGGGAGGAGUCAUCAUCCAGGUAAAGUGACGUAGAUCAGUGGAUACACUUGUCUCCCCUUUAAAGGAGACGAUCCAAGUCAUCCUUAAAUAUGGGCAGCAUAUCAGUCUUGGACUGUGUAACCUGCCGGAGCAGCACUGAAUA